AUACAUUUUUAAGAGAAUGUGCAUGAACACAAUAGAAUUUAAGCAAUAGAAAGAAAACCAGCCCCAAAGAAUAAAACAUUCCUCUCCAAGUGAUCACCAUCAACAAAUGAAAUAUGAUUUGUUAUGUCCAUAGCAGUGACAUCAAAUUAACAAAUACAAAACAAAAUUUUCCUCAUUUCUAUAAUCUUGUUCAAAGAAAAUACCAAAUUUAGCAUCUCAUCCAUAUAAAUCAGAAGAUUUUAUAACAAAAUAAUGAUACAUUAUGACUGAUCCAGUCAUUCGAUUGUCAAAGUAGUUUGAUAUGAUAUACAUAUGCAAAAAUUUUAAAAACUUCUUUUCCCCCUCCAACAAUUGAUAUUGAACAAUGUCAAUUAGUAUUCUUUGAUUCAGU
rnacentral:misc_RNA from 1 species